UACGGAGGGUGCGAGCGUUAUCCGGAAUUACUGGGUUUAAAGGGUGCGUAGGCGGCUUGUUAAGUCAGGAGUGAAAGUUUGCGGCUCAACCGUAAAAUUGCUUUUGAUACUGGCAGGCUAGAAUUAGGAUGAGGUUAGCGGAAUGUGGCAUGUAGCGGUGAAAUGCAUAGAUAUGACACAGAACACCGAUUGCGAAGGCAGCUCACUAAGCCAUAACUGACGCUGAUGCACGAAAGCGUGGGGAGCAAACAGG
rnacentral:rRNA from 1 species